rnacentral:rRNA from 1 species
AGUCUGCAACCCGGCCUACAUGAAGCUGGAAUCGCUAGUAAUCGCGGAUCAGAAUGCCGCGGUGAAUACGUUCCCGGGUCUUGUACACACCGCCCGUCACACCAUGGGAGCCGGAAAUGCCCGAAGUCAGUGACCCAACCGCAAGGAGGGAGCUGCCGAAGGUGGAGCUGGUAACUGGGGUGAAGUCGUAACAAGGUAGC